rnacentral:ncRNA from 1 species
GCACCGGGACGGCCCGGCGCGCAGCAAUCUUUCGGCGGGACGGCCCGC